rnacentral:sRNA from 1 species
UCGUCUGACCUUAAAUGUAUUACAUUAUUGAAGCUUCCUUGAAUAAUGAACUUCAGACUUGCAAACUGCAUAUAUAUUUUGUACUGAAGUACAGAACUGUAUUAUAGUACCCUGCAGAACAAGUCAGAAGUCCAUCCACUCAUAUCCCACAAGUCACACACAGUUAACAUACAUAGAGGCAGAUAAAGAAAAGUACCAACAUGUGCUCGAUGCAUAGAAAAACCGCUCACCUCAAUUUAAUAAUUGAAUACGAAAAGCAACGAGUGCCAUAAAAAAAUAUGUAUUUUUAGUUAGGAGAGAAAAGGAUCUCAUUAUUACGAGAAAACCGUUAAAAAAAACAUGAACUGUAAAGCCUCAAGGCACGUAGGAUUUAAACAAUUAUAUCAUGACAUGAAUUUCCCACAUUUUUCUUAAAUAUGAGGAAACGUUCAUAUUUUGAAGAAUUUUCUAGAAAAAUCUUAACUUUGUGCGAGUUAUUUAAGUUUGUUUUAUUGAUAUAUACAAUCGUGUUGUUAUUGAGCAAUUUAGUCAAAUUGGUGUUGUUGGGUUUUUUUUCCAUUUUGUAAUGUAGUAAUGUUCAUUGCAAAAAAUUGUGUUUUUUCAUAAUUUGGAUCAUAAACUAGAAUUAAUUUUAAAUAUGAACACGUCGUUAGGAAGUGAAUUGCUCGACACAACAGUUACGGCAUGAAGAACAAGGAACUUCCCUGUGUACCAUUCCACUGCUUGUCUUAAUCAAAUUGUGUUCAUACGUGUAAAUAUUUACAUUUUUCAGUUUUUUUAUAUAUGGUAACACUACAGAUCGAUUUUGUAAUGUAUAGUCCAAUGCAUUUCAUUAAUAACUAUUUUUAAUACUAAAUCGUACUAUAAAAAUAAUUGCUGAAAAAUAUAAACUUAAGAAAUAAGGAAUCAAUCUUUGAAUAUUAUGAGUUCGGGGAGGGGGGUGAUCAAAUCUAUCAUAAAGCCCCUCGGGCUUUGUUGGAUUUGAUCACCCCCAACCUUAUUGGAUCAUCGCAUAAUACUCGAAGAAAUAAACCUGAUAUAAAGCUAGGAUGUCAUGUCAGAAUGAUACAAUAAUUUCACUGCAUUUGUUCCCACCCACCUCCUCCUUUUAGCUUGAGUAUUGUGAACGUUGAAAUAAGGGUGUAACUCUGGUUCAAGACUGUGACAGAACUCUAUACUAUGGGUCACAGCUGUCUAAUAGUGAAAUAAGUCCAUAGGUCAGUUGGAUUACUUUUCAUGUACUCCACAUAUCUUACAUUGUACAGUUUCUUUAGGAUGAAAUUAAUGAUUGGUAAUGAUAGUUAUUGAUGUCAAUAAAUGUAUAUGCAAUGUUUCUAAAGCUACAAUAACAUUUUUUAAUGU